rnacentral:rRNA from 1 species
CUCAACCGGAGGAGCCUGCGGUUUAUUGGACUCACCGCCGGACAUCUCACCAGCUCCGACUAUAGUCAAUGACGGUCAGGUUGAUGACCUUGCCACGACGCUAUAGAGAGGAGGUGCAUGGCCGCCGUCAGCUCGUACCGUGAGGCGUCCUGUUAAGUCAGGCAACGAGCGAGACCCGCACUUCUAAUUGCCAGCAACAGUUUCGACUGGUUGGGUACAUUAGAAGGACUGCCGCUGCUAAAGCGGAGGAAGGAACGGGCAACGGUAGGUCAGUAUGCCCCGAAUGAGCUGGGCUACACGCGGGCUACAAUGGCCGAGACAAUGGGUUGCUAUCUCGAAAGAGAACGCUAAUCUCCUAAACUCGGUCGUAGUUCGGAUUGAGGGCUGAAACCCGCCCUCAUGAAACUGGAUUCCGUAGUAAUCGCAUUUCACAAGAGUGCCGUGAAUACGUCCCUGCUCCUUGGCCACCCAUAA